GAUGAACGCUAGCGGCAGGCUUAAUACAUGCAAGUCGAGGGGUAGCGAGAUUGUAGCAAUACAAUUGUUGACGACCGGCAAACGGGUGCGGAACACGUACACAACCUUCCUACAAGUGGGGAAUAGCCCAGAGAAAUUUGGAUUAAUACCCCGUAACAUAGCGAUGUGGCAUCACAUUGCUAUUAUAGCUUCGGCGCUUGUUGAUGGGUGUGCGGCUGAUUAGAUAGUUGGCGUGGUAACGGCCCACCAAGUCUACGAUCAGUAGCUGAUGUGAGAGCAUGAUCAGCCACACGGGCACUGAGACACGGGCCCGACUCCUACGGGAGGCAGCAGUAAGGAAUAUUGGACAAUGGACGCAAGUCUGAUCCAGCCAUGCCGCGUGAAGGAUUAAGGUCCUCUGGAUUGUAAACUUCUUUUAUAAGGGACGAAAAAAGGUCUUUCUAGAUCGUCUGACGGUACCUUAUGAAUAAGCACCGGCUAACUCCGUGCCAGCCGCCGCGGUAAGAC
rnacentral:rRNA from 1 species